GAGAGGAUUGAAUCUGCUUGCUGGUCCACAACAGAGAGUAGACCCUCUCAGGGUGCAGAGGCGUGAUCUGAUGAAAUAUUCCUGUACACUCACACUGGACACAAACACAGU